rnacentral:rRNA from 1 species
UACGUAGGGUGCGAGCGUUAAUCGGAAUUACUGGGCGUAAAGGGUGCGCAGGCGGCUUGCUAAGACAGGUGUGAAAGCCCCGAGCUUAACUUGGGAAUGGCGCUUGUGACUGGCAGGCUGGAGUGUGGCAGAGGGAGGUGGAAUUCCACGUGUAGCAGUGAAAUGCGUAGAGAUGUGGAGGAACACCGAUGGCGAAGGCAGCCUCCUGGGCCAACACUGACGCUCAUGUACGAAAGCGUGGGGAGCAAACAGG